AUUAAACGCUGGCGGCAUGCCUUACACAUGCAAGUCGAACGGCAGCACGGGGGCAACCCUGGUGGCGAGUGGCGGACGGGUGAGUAAAGCAUCGGAACGUAUCCUGGAGUGGGGGGAUAACGUAGCGAAAGUUACGCUAAUACCGCAUAUUCUGUGAGCAGGAAAGCAGGGGAUCGCAAGACCUUGCGCUCUGGGAGCGGCCGAUGUCGGAUUAGCUAGUUGGUGGGGUAAAGGCCUACCAAGGCGACGAUCCGUAGCGGGUCUGAGAGGAUGAUCCGCCACACUGGGACUGAGACACGGCCCAGACUCCUACGGGAGGCAGCAGUGGGGAAUUUUGGACAAUGGGCGGAAGCCUGAUCCAGCCAUGCCGCGUGAGUGAAGAAGGCC
rnacentral:rRNA from 1 species